GUGAGGAAUAUUGGACAAUGGGCGCAAGCCUGAUCCAGCCAUGCCGCGUGCAGGAAGACGCAUCUAUGGUGUGUAAACUGCUUUUGUACGGGAAGAAACACUCCCUCGUGAGGGAGCUUGACGGUACCGUAAGAAUAAGGAUCGGCUAACUCCGUGCCAGCAGCCGCGGUAAUACGGAGGAUCCAAGCGUUAUCCGGAAUCAUUGGGUUUAAAGGGUCCGUAGGCGGUUUAAUAAGUCAGUGGUGAAAGCGCAUCGCUCAACGAUGGAACGGCCAUUGAUACUGUUAGACUUGAAUUACAAGGAAGUAACUAGAAUAUGUAGUGUAGCGGUGAAAUGCUUAGAUAUUACAUGGAAUACCAAUUGCGAAGGCAGGUUACUACUUGUGGAUUGACGCUGAUGGACGAAAGCGUGGGGAGCGAACAGGAUUAGAAACCCCGGUAGUCC
rnacentral:rRNA from 1 species